rnacentral:rRNA from 1 species
AUUGAACGCUGGCGGCAGGCCUAACACAUGCAAGUCGAACGAGUGGCGGACGGGUGAGUAAUGUCUGGGAAACUGCCUGAUGGAGGGGGAUAACUACUGGAAACGGUAGCUAAUACCGCAUACCCUCAGAUGUGCCCAGAUGGGAUUAGCUAGUUGGUGGGGUAAAGGCGCACCAAGGCGACGAUCGCUAGCUGGUCUGAGAGGAUGACCAUCCACAAUGGAACGUAGACACGGUCCAGACUCCUACGGGAGGCAGCAGUGGGGAAUAUUGAACAAUGGGCGCAAGCCUGAUGCAGCCAUGCCGCGUGGAUGAAGAAGGCCUUCGGGUUGUAAAGUACUUUCAGCGGGGAGGCGUUACCCGCAGAAGAAGCACCGGCUAACUCCGUGCCAGCCGCCGCGGUAAUUC